AAUGCUUCCUUAUAUGAAUCCAAAUUUGCCUCUCCUUGACCUCUACCCUCUGCACUGUUUCAGCCUCCGCCUCUGGGGCCUUACUAAACAAGUCCAAUCACCCUUCCACGUGACCCCUUAUCUAACUGUAGGUGGGAUUAAUGUACUUAUCUGCCCAAACAGCUCCAGUCCUUUAAACUGCCUUUUAUUGAUUGGAGCCCACCCAGGAUACUACAUUACAUUCAGAUGUCAUGUCUCCUUAGGCUCCUGCAGACUGACAAUUUCUCAAACUUUGUUUUUGAUGACUUUGACAAUUUUGAGGUGGUAUGAUAAUUUGUGAAGUGUUUCUCAUGCUUAGCCUGGAGUUACAAGGUUGGAGAAAAAGACCAAAGAUGUGAAGUGCCAUUCUCAUCACAUCAUGUCAAGGGUACAUGCUGUUAACAUGAAUUAACAUCGAUGAUGUUAACCUUGAUGUCCUGGCUGAGGUCAUGAAGUGCUCUCCAGUUAAGAUCCUCACCAUCUUAGUUAACACUCAGACAUGCUGUGCUGUUUAUCUCUAUUUUUUUUUUUUUUUUUUUUUUUUUUUUGUCGCUGAGGUCAUUUUACAUGAUCUCCUUGUCCUAAAUGAGGAUCACCACUUUCCAAGGAGUGUCUCUUUAAAAGUCGCCUUUGCUGUUUCCCUCCUCUGAGUCCUCCAUGGAUAUGCUAUGUAGGUUAAUGGGACAGGUUGACUUGGAGGGAUCCCCCUCUCCUCUAGCAACUUUCUGCACCUCCUCUUCCCUGCUGUCAUUCCAAUGAUGAACUCUCUUGGAUAGAAGGAUUCAAACAGAAAAAUGCAAAGAGAAGUCAGAUGGAAAACUCUGGAAAAUCCAAGAAGGGAGCUAGUUGAUGAUGAGCAAAGCCACAUGUGCUGUCUUGACAGCCAUAGAGAAGAAUGGAGGCCUCCAUACCUGAGUGGAAAGAGAAGAACAUGGGCAAUGAUUUUGUCUCUACAAAACAACAACAACAACAGACAAACAAAAUUAGCUGGGUGUGGUGGUGUGCACCUGCAACUUCACUACUUAGCAGGCUGGGUUGGGAGGAUGGCUUGAACCUAGGAGUUCAAGGCUAUAGUGAGCCGUGAUUGUGCCACUGCACUCCAGCCUGACAGAACAAGACCAUGUCUCAAAAGGAAAAAAAAAAAGAAAAGGAAAGAAGAAAAGAAUUUAAAAAGAGAAGGGAGAAUGAGAAGAGUCACAACUUUGAUAAAGUGGGGAGCAUUGGGUUGGGUAUGGAAUGGUAGUAGUCUUGUCUAGUUCAGAAUCAGACAGACCUGAGUUUAGUCCUUCACAUCUACCCUUUUACCCUUCUUAUUUUAUUUCCCUUCCCUUCCCAUUUUCUUAUUCAUUUAAUAAAGUUUCUAAGUUCU